UACGUAGGGUGCGAGCGUUAAUCGGAAUUACUGGGCGUAAAGCGUGCGCAGGCGGUCUUGUAAGCCAGAUGUGAAAUCCCCGGGCUUAACCUGGGAAUGGCAUUUGGGACUGCAAGGCUCGAGUGCGGCAGAGGAGACUGGAAUUCCUGGUGUAGCAGUGAAAUGCGUAGAUAUCAGGAGGAACACCGAUGGCGAAGGCAGGUCUCUGGGCUGACACUGACGCUCAUGCACGAAAGCGUGGGGAGCAAACAGG
rnacentral:rRNA from 1 species